rnacentral:rRNA from 1 species
AGACCCGAAACCCGGUGAUCUAGCCAUGGGCAGGUUGAAGGUUGGGUAACACUAACUGGAGGACCGAACCGACUAAUGUUGAAAAAUUAGCGGAUGACCUGUGGCUGGGGGUGAAAGGCCAAUCAAACCGGGAGAUAGCUGGUUCUCCCCGAAAGCUAUUUAGGUAGCGCCUCGUGAAUUCAUCUCCGGGGGUAGAGCACUGUUUCGGCUAGGGGGCCAUCCCGGCUUACCAACCCGAUGCAAACUGCGAAUACCGGAGAAUGUUAUCACGGGAGACACACGGCGGGUGCUAACGUCCGUCGUGAAGAGGGAAACAACCCAGACCGCCAGCUAAGGUCCCAAAGUCAUGGUUAAGUGGGAAACGAUGUGGGAAGGCCCAGACAGCCAGGAUGUUGGCUUAGAAGCAGCCAUCAUUUAAAGAAAGCGUAAUAGCUCACUGGUCGAGUCGGCCUGCGCGGAAGAUGUAACGGGGCUAAACCAUGCACCGAAGCUGCGGCAGCGACGCUGAUGCGUUGUUGGGUAGGGGAGCGUUCUGUAAGCCUGUGAAGGUGGCCUGUGAGGGUUGCUGGAGGUAUCAGAAGUGCGAAUGCUGACAUAAGUAACGAUAAAGCGGGUGAAAAGCCCGCUCGCCGGAAGACCAAGGGUUCCUGUCCAACGUUAAUCGGGGCAGGGUGAGUCGACCCCUAAGGCGAGGCCGAAAGGCGUAGUCGAUGGGAAACGGGUUAAUAUUCCCGUACUUGGUGUUACUGCGAAGGGGGGACGGAGAAGGCUAUGUUGGCCGGGCGACGGUUGUCCCGGUUUAAGCGUGUAGGUGUGUGUUCCAGGUAAAUCCGGUUCACUUUAACACUGAGGCGUGAUGACGAGGCACUACGGUGCUGAAGCAACAAAUGCCCUGCUUCCAGGAAAAGCCUCUAAGCAUCAGGUAACAU